AAAACUUGUAUAUAUGGUGAGGCAUUAACAAACCUUUCAUAACAUUUAAAAAUGUCCUGGACUCCUAGGAUGUUCCUGGUAAGUGCAGAGACAAAAUAAAUAACCUAAUAUAAAAAAAAUGGGUGCUUCACUUGCACUUUUUUCCCUUAUCUCUUUCUGUUUGUUUUUUUACCCAUUUUGUUUCUUUGAGUGUCUCAAGUACCUCCAACUAGCAGAAUGGAGAUCAUUUUACUAGGAAAUUAAGCUUUUAUUUGCAUUAUUUCUACACUUCUGCUCUAUGUUCUCAAAUCAAUUGUGCAUUCCUUUAAUUAAGGUAAUUCAUUAAUGUAAUCAAACCUGUAGUUCUACUAGACAAGGGUUUGUAGAUGUCUGGUGGCCCUUGUUCAGGGAGAAAACUUGAUCUAUAUCAACAGACUUCAAACACCCUUGUUUUGACCAGUAUACUUGAGCAUAUAGUUCCUAAUGGUCUGUAAGUUUAGAUUGUUUCAUUAUAGGCUCUGGGGAGUGGGAAGAAAGAGCAUGUGUAGGACAAGGAGUAAGUGAACACACUUGCCUACCUUACUAGGAAAUUGCUGAAUUCCAUUUUGUUAAUAAUGUAUAUUCGUCUUCAUCUCUUACAAUCUAGCUGCUAAAAAGUAUUUGCAUUGUUAAGGUUCCAUUGUUUGCUGCAUGAAUAUUAAACUAUUAAUUCCUAAUCUUAACAUUGCUUAUGUAGGU
rnacentral:misc_RNA from 1 species